AUGUUCAUCUUGAUAGCGAAAAAGGCGACACGACAAUGGGCCGCAUGGACACGCCAAGAGGAGGAGAGUUUCUUCAAUGCUCUGCGCCAAGUAGGAAAAAAUUUUGAGAAGAUUACUCUACGUGUCCAGAGCAAAAACAAAGAUCAGGUCAGGCAUUACUACUAUCGCCUUGUUAGGCGCAUGAAGAAGCUUCUGGGUCCUGGGUUCUCACUUGAUGCACGAAACUCCAAGGACACCAUUGCUGCUAUGCUCCGCUGGUGGUCUCUUCUCGAGAAAUUUAGCUGCAGUGCUUCAAAGCUACAUCUGAAGCCUCGGAGAUUCAAAACAUUUGUAGAUGCAUUGGGAAAUCAACUGAUAAAAGACAGAAAAAGAACGAGAAGAAAGUGUUCACUAGGGGAUACCCGCUUAUCUUCUUCAUCUCCAGUUCUCAGCAAGACUCCAGGAAAUCAAUCUUUCGCAGUAGGACUCUUGCCCAUGGAUGCCCAAAACGGUAGCAAAGGAGCCUCUUCUAAAGGAGCGUUUAUGAAACGGGUUGCAGAAUCUAAUUCUAACAAGUCAGGAGUAAUCAGAGGAGACCUCUCUGCCACCAGAACUGUGAGACAAAAAAGGAGAGCAGGGGGUGCUGGUGCGUGUGCGGCAUAUAAGAAAUGGGAGAGAGCUGCCAUGGCUGGUGUUUCUUUAGUUGCUGAUGCAGCUGAGGAGCUUGAACACAAAAUGACGACCCAGAACUUGUCGUGUAAUGCGGAUGCAACUGUGCUAGCUUCAUCACCCAACAACGUAUCUACUGUUGAUGAUGCGGGCACAAAUCAUAUGAAAGAAGCAGAUCCGCAAGCACCUUCAAAGCUGAAGCUGCAGUUAUUUCCAAUAAAUGAAGCCACACGGAAGGCAUUGGAGAAGGAUGAUCAUAAUCCACAUCUGGAGCUCACAUUAAGUUCCAAGAAAAAAAUGUCUUCUGUUUUAGAACAUCUGAAUCGCAAGUGGGGCAACUCAAACAUUGCAUGUGGAGAGCUUGUGCUUUUCCCAUAUUGUGCUCAUCAAGAGGAUUUAGCUACCUAUCAGAGGUGGACAACACAAGAUACUGUUGCAGUGGCUGAUGUCUUUUUUUCUGUGAAUAGCCCCUCUAUUUUCCGAUUAAGGUAUGGCUGGUUCUCCCUUGCUGAGCUUGAGGCAGGACUAAGUGAAAUAUCGUUGACCCGCUUUGAGAAUUGCAUGAUACCAGAAGACAUUCAGGUCAAAUCUUCCUCAGAGGCCUGUGUGCAAAAGGAUGGCACUUUACCCAGUGACUUCACUUCUGAGCAAUCAUCUAAUAACUCAAAAGAUCAGUCGGCAUUAUUGCUUGGUACACCAUCUAGUACAGGCAAGAAUGCUGCGGAAGAGCCUUCCAUUAAUACCUUUCCCUCUCAGUCUGGCGAUCACAAUCAAGAACAAGUUCCUGCAAACCAAGCUUUUGAGGUUGAUCCUCAGAUGGAUUGUCUUGCAAUAUCGGAAGUAGAUUGGGCAGAUACCCUUACUGAUAUCAGUGUUGGAUACUUGCUGACAGAAGCAUCCAAGGCUGCUAAUUUGGAUUGUGAAGUGACCUCUAUUGCCAAAAAUCCUCUUUUCGAUGAGAAUCCGUGCAGCUAUGACUCGUUUGAUGCUGCUGUUGCCCUACAUGCUUCUCGUUAUCAAGCGGCAGAGCAGCCAGCUCAAACAUCCCAUUCCACCAUGUGGGGUGCAGAAGAAACAUGUGAUGAGUUCAGUUUUAUGUUGGCCACAGCUAGGAAGCAACAAGGUUUAAACACUUCAGCUAGCAGCCCUCCUGAUAGCGACAAUGAAGUUCACUCUUCAAAUUCAGAAGGGUUUCAAGGUUUUCUUCAGGACUUGGCUGGAGGAGAUACUCCUGGUAAUCCUUGUGCUGAUGAUGUCAAGGCAAUGGAAGAACUUUGUGCCAGAUCACCACCUCAAAGUGACAAUGAUUUUGGAUUGAAAGAUCAGCCUCUAGAUGACGCAUUCUGGCCCGAAUCACUUGGACCACUGGACUUGGAUAUACCGCCAAUAAGAUCCCUAGCUGACGAGUUCAUCUUAGGAGACAGUCAAAAUAGUUGGAGUCGGAUGAUGGAAAAUAGCAUGGAUGCAUUUCGAAACAUGUCGUUCUUCGUGUCCGAUAACAAUGACUCAGUUCUUCCACCCAUCAUGUAG
rnacentral:rRNA from 1 species